CGAAAGUAGAAACGUCCUCCUUAACUGCACAGUGGACAAGUUGGGAAGCAAUGAUCGCAGGGAACUGCAUGAGCCUCUCAAACUGCAGUGUCUUUGUGAGAGACCAGAGGACUGGAGCUAAGGGGGAAAACACCAUCUGCUCCCCUCCCUUCUUCGUCAACGGAAGCAUUUAGUGCCAUCUGUGCCCCCGGAGAAAAGAGGAAAAAAAGAAAGGAGUGAGACUCUACAUCCCAAGUGCCAAUGGGGACAAAGAGGCUGCCAGUUGCCACGGACCACCAGAUGCUGGAAGACUGCAAGUCUGAAUGAGGGGUGUGCUUUCAGGAAGCCAUCUUGAUGGAGAAGCUGGCUGCUGCUCCCUAAAAUGGCUGUGUUGGCAUGAGGCUCCUGGCAAUGAAACUGAAAAAUCCCCAUCGUCGUCAUCAGCUACUGGAGAAACCGAGGCCAUCCUGCUAUGUUUGACUCAAAUGGUCAAUCACAUCACCUCAGGAAUCCAGCGUCCAGCAUCUCUUCCAGAUGGUUCGCUGUGGAAAUUAAACAAGCAGAUGAGGGAUGGUUUAAAAUGUGCACUAACUGAUUUAACCGGGUGUCUUAAAACCUUUCAGUCUUCAGACAAUCACUACUACUGGAUGGGCGUGUGGAUUUGGGCUGUUCACCCAUUUAAAUCUUAGAUGUUAGAAAACGUGUUGCACAGUCUUAUCAGUGCUAUAUAAACUGAAGAGAAUAAUGUGGCUUAAUGUGUGAAAAGUUUACAAUGAGAGUUGAUGUUAUCGAUAGAAAUGUCAAUGACUGGGAUUUUGCAUUCCCUAUUUUAAAUGGACUUUUAAUGCUUCUUUGUCUUGCAUUAAAGCAUAUGAACUUUCGUGUUAGGCAUUCAUUUUUUUAUGUUAUUGUAUUUAUAAAAUGUUCCAGUUUCAAUGGAUUUACAGGAAAUUGUGCUUAAUCCAGAUAUUUUGUAUGGCUACUGUAUGUAUGGAGUUUAAUACAAGAAUUAUGGCCAGUUUAUCAUUUGUCUGAUUAUGUGAUUGUAUGAAACAAACUUUUCAAACUGCACAAAUAA